CCACCACCACCACCACCAUCCGCAGGCUCCCAUCCUGACCCGUGCGAUCAUCUCACGUGUUUUAUCCCCUCCCACCUCCUCUUGUGUGCCCUCCCCUUUCACUUAGCUGCGUUCCCACUGUCUCUCUGUGUCUCCAUUGGUGGUGUUCGGAUCCCCAGGCCGACGUUUGGAGGACAGGAACAGGAACAGAACACGCGCCAUCAACUUAGCCAUCAGCACCACAGACAUGUCGGACUCUGAGACCGCCGCCGCAGCACCCGCCGAGGCCCCAGUUCCUGCUCCUUGUGUCAGUCUCAAAGCUGACCUGGACAAGUGCAUGUCAGAGAAGGGAGAAGAGGCGUGCAAAAACUUCUUAGAGGCCUUCGAGGCUUGUGUGAAGCAUGUGGCUGAGGGGACAUCAUGAGCCAGGAGUCGCCCUCCAAAUCUCAAUGUCCACUGCACUGCACUAAGUCCUCCGAGUUCCCAGCAUUCCUUUCUGCACACCAGCAUAGGACUAAAUGGCAACAACAACGACCGUGAUCACGGUGUGACUCGCGCUGUGUUGAUUCGGGCUGAGUUUGGGACCUGGCAGCAGUAACCCUAAUCCCCCUCCCCACAACCCCACCCACCAAACCGCCCCAACCCUGCCCGCCAUCUGUUUGAAACCUUUACUGAUGCCCUUCAGUCUUCCGCCAUUCCCUCUCUCCCUUUAUCGCUGAUGUAUGAUGCAUUGACCUGUCAAUACUUCCAGAGAACUAAUGGCUAGUCUUAACUUGAAAUGAAUAUUAUCAAUGGAAAUAAAAGUACAAAAUGAUUGGUAUACAAAAGAAAUGCGGUUAUUUUGUUGUUUGAAGUGAGGGCUAUUAAAUAAGUUGAAUUACCUCGCAAAUAUAAAGCUGCAUUAAAAUGUGUACCAUAUUUAUAGAAUACCAUGUGAUAUCAGGAAUUAUUCAACCACAAGAGUGCAUAAAAGUUACUAUUACAGUCAUUUCUAUAUUGUUUUCAUAGUGCUUGUACAAUAUUUUUAUCCAUUGCACUUGCUUUCUCUCAAUAUCCAUUUAAAUAUGUUUGUCUUGUUUUAAAUUAGUUAAAAAAAAACUUAAAAACACGCAAAGGUGCCAAUAAUGUUAAAAAAAGGGUUUGAGCAUGAUUGUAUCUAAAAGGAAGCUUUGGCCCUCCGAAAAGACUGGCAACCCAUCGGUGGUGUACCCUGCUUCUUGCCCAAAGGCAACUGGGCGAGAUAGACUCCAGUUCACUCCAGAAAAUUGGUUACUGAUUGUGAUACCUCAAGGGGAAAUUGUACUUGCACAUAUGUGCAAGGAGAGAUGUCAGAGUGAAAGAAUGUACUGCCUCUCUUGAGCUAGGGUAUGGUCCCUUGAUCAAAGGUACUGCGGCAGCGUCAGUAUGCAGACUCCCCAAUGACUUCUGUCGUUUUUGUCUUUAAAAAGCCUUUCAGCGGCUCUUUUCGUCAUCCAUUGUGGAUUCUGUGGUUUAUUUUACAGCUCCAGUACUGCUGAGUAGAGUGUAGACUUUGCACAUUUAGAGCAGUCGGUAAAGCCUCUUAAUCCCAUUUGACUGGCUGACGUGAACCCCUCCCAGACUGGCACACUAAGUAGUUGUCACUCAUUCACCCAAAACGUUUUUUUCCAACUGUACUGAGUAGUAUAUGAUGAUGUCUGCCACAAUGUUUUGUAACUCCACACGUCUGCAUCGUUUGAACUUCACAUGCUGCAUGACCAAUGUAAGCUGGUGCGAUGUUGUUCCAGGAUGGUGUGACGUCAAAGACCAAACCAUUUGUUCCGCUGUGCAUGAGAGCACUCACAACCACAGAUACACUCAGUGAAGCAACUUUUGCUGUAUAUAUGGGGCUCACACCUCACAGGGCACCAGAUCAGACAUGCAACGGGAGAGUGAAAGGAGAGUGCAAGGUUGGAGGGAGAGAUCACUGCAUUGCUCAAGGGCACCAAGAGUUACAAGUACGGAAACAAACCAGCAUCUUGCCGAUGAAUAGUUGCCAUGGUUCAUCUUUUGUCCUCAGCAGGGCUCGAACAUUAAGCCUCAGUCAUUACAGAUGCGCUAAUGUUGGAUGUUGUUUUAUACAAAGUUCAGUCAAGUUCAUUGUUUGAGAUGCCUAUCCUCACAAGGGUUGAAGGAGUGCUGGACCCUUUCCCAGCUAUCAGCAGGCGGUAGGAGGGGUAAACCCUGAACCAGUUGCCAGGUAAUUGCAGUGUGAUGCCAUGGAAGCAAAUUUAACAACACUUUCAAGUAAUGACGAUACACAGUCAGGAAAAAAUAUAUAUUUAUGCGUUUGGCAUCUUGCCCAAGCAUAUUUGGACAGGGAUUGAACCUACAACCUUGAUCUGAGG